rnacentral:lncRNA from 1 species
CAAGCAUAUUUCAUUUUGAACUGGAAACAUAUCUAAAAUAUUUUUAUGUUUCCAUAAGAAAAAACAUGAACAUGUUAUAAGAUAUUUAUUCAAUAAUUAUUGGCACCCAAAACCUGUUUAAAAGAAGAAUGUUAUAAUUUAAUGCAUCAAAGGAAGUUUUGUAGGCCCUGAUUUACAAUGCAUUGUGGGAAACACUUGCUAACUACCCAAAUUUAAUCAUAUGAUUAAAAAUUAAUCGGAUGAUUAGUAAAUACAAUGAUUAAAAUAAGUUGAACAACGCAAUUUAAUCAUUGCAUUUACUAAUCAUCCGAUUAACUUUUAACGACUGAUUAAAAUUAAUCAUAUGAUUAGUUUAAUCACAAGUUGAGCAACAGACCCCUGG